AUUUCCAGGAAUUCUGAUAGAUUUGUUUUUAAAGUUUCAAUUUCCUUAGAGAAAUGCUGAUUUUGUUCAUUGAUUUGCUUUCUGAGUGCACUGAAUUGCCUGUUAGUAUUUCCUCAUGUCUCUUUGAGUAUUUUCAGGAUUGCAAUCUUAAAAUCUCUAUCAUUUAUAUCCCAGAGACCCGGUGCAUGAAAUUUGUGCAUGGGA